rnacentral:rRNA from 1 species
GAACGCUGGCGGCAGGCUCUAACACAUGCAAGUCCGGGCGGCAGAGAGGUAGCUUGCUACCGAUCUUAGCGGCGGACGGGUGAGUAAUGCUUAGGAAUCUGCCUAUUAGUGGGGGACAACAUUUCGAAAGGAAUGCUAAUACCGCAUACGUCCUACGGGAGAAAGCAGGGGAUCUUCGGACCUUGCGCUAAUAGAUGAGCCUAAGUCGGAUUAACUAGUUGGUGGGGUAAAGGCCUACCAAGGCGACGAUCUGUAGCGGGUCUGAGAGGAUGAUCCCCCACACUGGGACUGAAACACGGCCCAGACUCCUACUGGAGGCAGCUGUGGGGAAUAUUGGACAAUGGGCGGCCGCCUUUUCCCGCCAUGCCACAUGUGUAAAGAAGGCCCUAUGGUUGUGGAAUUUCUUUAAGCUAUGACGAGACUAGCUUUGUUAAUACCCUCUGGAUACCUGGGUGUUAAUUGCCCAAAAAGCCCCGGCCUAUUUUGGGAAAGUUU